AGUGAACGCUGGCGGUAGGCCUAACACAUGCGAGUCGAACGGCAGCACAGUAAGAGCUUGCUCUUACGGGUGGCGAGUGGCGGACGGGUGAGGAAUACAUCGGAAUCUACUUUUUCGUGGGGGAUAACGUAGGGAAACUUACGCUAAUACCGCAUACGACCUACGGGUGAAAGCAGGGGAUCUUCGGACCUUGCGCGAUUGAAUGAGCCGAUGUCGGAUUAGCUAGUUGGCGGGGUAAAGGCCCACCAAGGCGACGAUCCGUAGCUGGUCUGAGAGGAUGAUCAGCCACACUGGAACUGAGACACGGUCCAGACUCCUACGGGAGGCAGCAGUGGGGAAUAUUGGACAAUGGGCGCAAGCCUGAUCCAGCCAUACCGCGUGGGUGAAGAAGGCCUUCGGGUUGUAAAGCCCUUUUAUUGGGAAAGAAAAGCAGCAGGUUAAUACCCCGCUGUUCUGACGGUACCCAAAGAAUAAGCACCGGCUAACUUCGUG
rnacentral:rRNA from 1 species